CGGGGUGUGGCGCAGUUGGUAGCGCAUCUGGUUUGGGACCAGAGGGUCGCAGGUUCGAGUCCUGUCACCCCGA
rnacentral:tRNA from 1 species